rnacentral:rRNA from 1 species
GACGAACGCUGGCGGCGUGCUUAACACAUGCAAGUCGAACGGAAAGGCCCUGCUUUUGUGGGGUGCUCGAGUGGAGAACGGGUGAGUAACACGUGAGUAACCUGCCCUUGACUUUGGGAUAACUUCAGGAAACUGGGGCUAAUACCGGAUAGGAGCUCCUGCUGCAUGGUGGGGGUUGGAAAGUUUCGGCGGUUGGGGAUGGACUCGCGGCUUAUCAGCUUGUUGGUGGGGUAGUGGCUUACCAAGGCUUUGACGGGUAGCCGGCCUGAGAGGGUGACCGGCCACAUUGGGACUGAGAUACGGCCCAGACUCCUACGGGAGGCAGCAGUGGGGAAUAUUGCACAAUGGGCGGAAGCCUGAUGCAGCAACGCCGCGUGCGGGAUGACGGCCUUCGGGCUGUAAACCGCUUUCGCCUGUGACGAAGCGUGAGUGACGGUAAUGGGUAAAGAAGCACCGGCUAACUACGUG